rnacentral:rRNA from 1 species
UGGUGGAGCGAUUUGUCUGGUUAAUUCCGAUAACGAACGAGACUCUAGCCUAUUAAAUAGUUCGCCGAUUUUUCGAGUCGGCGUCAACUUCUUAGAGGGACAAGUGUCGUAUAGGUACGCGAGAUUGAGCAAUAACA